rnacentral:rRNA from 1 species
CCGAGUGAUCUAUCCAUGAGCAGGUUGAGUGCCGUAACAGGCACCGGAGGACCGAACCCACUGUCGUUGAAAAGCCAGGGGAUGACUUGUGGAUAGGGGUGAAAGGCUAAUCAAACUCGGUGAUAGCUGGUUCUCCCCGAAAGCUAUUUAGGUAGCGCCUCGGACGAACACCAUUGGGGGUAGAGCACUGUUUCGGCUAGGGGGUCACACCGACUUACCAAACCGAUGCAAACUCCGAAUACCGAUGAGUGAUAUCCGGGAGACAGACGGCGGGUGCUAACGUCCGUCGUCAAGAGGGAAACAACCCAGACCGCCAGCUAAGGCCCCAAAUUCCUAGUUAAGUGGGAAACGAUGUGGGAAGGCACAGACAGCUAGGAGGUUGGCUUAGAAGCAGCCACCCUUUAAAGAAAGCGUAAUAGCUCACUAGUCGAGUCGGCCUGCGCGGAAGAUGUAACGGGGCUCAAACUAGGAGCCGAAGCUGCGGAUUUAAUUGUUUCAAUUAAGUGGUAGGGGAGCGUUGUGUAAGCCUGUGAAGGUGCACUGUAAGGUGUGCUGGAGGUAUCACAAGAGCGAAUGCUGACGUGAGUAACGACAAAACGGGUGAAAAGCCCGUUCGCCGGAAGACCAAGGGUUCCAGUCCAACGUUAAUCGGGGCUGGGUGAGUCGACCCCUAAGGCGAGGCCGAAAGGCGUAGUCGAUGGGAAAUCGGUUAAUAUUCCGAUACUUGUUUAUGAUGCGAUGGAGGGACGGAGAAGGUUAUGCCAGCCUGGCGAUGGUUGUCCAGGUGGAAGGAUGUAGUUAGACUGAGUAGGCAAAUCCGCUCGGUUAUUAAUGAGAUCUGAUAGCAAGCCAGUUUACUGGCGAAGUGGCAAAUACCCUGCUUCCAGGAAAAGCUUCUAAGCGAUAGUCAUAAACGAAUCGUACCCGAAACCGACACAGGUGGUCAGGUAGAGAAUACCAAGGCGCUUGAGAGAACUCUGCUGAAGGAACUAGGCAAAAUGGUACCGUAACUUCGGGAGAAGGUACGCUGCCGGUGGUGAAAUCCUCGCGAUGUAAGCUACUGGCAGUCGCAGAUACCAGGCUGCUGCAACUGUUUAUUAAAAACACAGCACUCUGCAAACACGAAAGUGGACGUAUAGGGUGUGAUGCCUGCCCGGUGCUGGAAGGUUAAUUGAUGGGGUUAGCGUAAGCGAAGCUCUUGAUCGAAGCCCCAGUAAACGGCGGCCGUAACUAUAACGGUCCUAAGGUAGCGAAAUUCCUUGUCGGGUAAGUUCCGACCUGCACGAAUGGCAUAAUGAUGGCAGCGCUGUCUCCAGCAGAGACUCAGUGAAAUCGAAAUCGCAGUGAAGAUGCUGUGUACCCGCGGCUAGACGGAAAGACCCCGUGAACCUUUACUACAGCUUUACAUUGAACUUUGACCUAACUUGUGUAGGAUAGGUGGGAGGCUUUGAAGCAGAUACGCCAGUAUUUGUGGAGCCAACCUUGAAAUACCACCCUGGUUAUGUUGGGGUUCUAACUUAGGAUUAACAAAUCCAAGGACAAUGUAUGGUGGGUAGUUUGACUGGGGCGGUCUCCUCCUAAAGAGUAACGGAGGAGUACGAAGGUGCGCUCAGAACGGUCGGAAAUCGUUCAAAGAGUAUAAAGGCAAAAGCGCGCUUAACUGCGAGACCCACAAGUCGAGCAGGUACGAAAGUAGGUCUUAGUGAUCCGGUGGUUCUGUAUGGAAGGGCCAUCGCUCAACGGAUAAAAGGUACUCUGGGGAUAACAGGCUGAUACCGCCCAAGAGUUCAUAUCGACGGCGGUGUUUGGCACCUCGAUGUCGGCUCAUCUCAUCCUGGGGCUGAAGCAGGUCCCAAGGGUAUGGCUGUUCGCCAUUUAAAGAGGUACGCGAGCUGGGUUUAGAACGUCGUGAGACAGUUCGGUCCCUAUCUACCGUGGGCGUUGGAAAUUUGAGAGGAUCUGCUCCUAGUACGAGAGGACCAGAGUGGACGAACCUCUGGUGUUCCGGUUGUUUCGCCAGAAGCAUCGCCGGGUAGCUACGUUCGGAUGGGAUAACCGCUGAAAGCAUCUAAGCGGGAAGCCCACCUCAAGAUAAGAUUUCCCUAAAGAGCCGUUGUAGACUACGACGUUGAUAGGUUGGGUGUGGAAGUGUAGUGAUACAUGUAGCUAACCAAUACUAAUUGCUCGUUUGGCUUGACCAU